rnacentral:lncRNA from 1 species
AGCCUUCUCCGCUGAGAUAACCGGAGCAUAUGAGGAGAGCAUGAAAUGAAUUCGAGGAUAUGGUACAAGGUUCGUCUGGAACUCUGUUAUGUCCACGUUGAUGGCUCCAUCAAAUCUCAAUGAAGUGGUCAAGGAUGAAAUAAUUUGAGAUAUCAAUCUAUUCAAGUUGGUAUAUGUAGGCCUAUCAAUGUCAAGAGAUCUCCUACAAAUGUCGUAUAUAGCUUCAUUGUCUAGAAGAACAGCAACAUCCGUAUGCUCAAGAAGAGAAUGGGUAGAAAGAAC